rnacentral:rRNA from 1 species
AAUGAACGCUGGCGGCAUGCCUAACACAUGCAAGUCGAACGAAGGCUUCGGCCUUAGUGGCGCACGGGUGCGUAACGCGUGGGAAUCUGCCCCUUGGUUCGGAAUAACAGUUGGAAACGACUGCUAAUACCGGAUGAUGACGUAAGUCCAAAGAUUUAUCGCCGAGGGAUGAGCCCGCGUAGGAUUAGGUAGUUGGUGUGGUAAAGGCGCACCAAGCCGACGAUCCUUAGCUGGUCUGAGAGGAUGAUCAGCCACACUGGGACUGAGACACGGCCCAGACUCCUACGGGAGGCAGCAGUGGGGAAUAUUGGACAAUGGGCGAAAGCCUGAUCCAGCAAUGCCGCGUGAGUGAUGAAGGCCUUAGGGUUGUAAAGCUCUUUUACCCGGGAUGAUAAUGACA